rnacentral:rRNA from 1 species
UGAGGAAUAUUGGUCAAUGGGCGCAAGCCUGAACCAGCCAUGCCGCGUGCAGGAUUAAGGCCCUAUGGGUUGUAAACUGCUUUUGUACGGGAAGAAACACCGAUUCGUGAAUCGGCUUGACGGUACCGUAAGAAUAAGGAUCGGCUAACUCCGUGCCAGCAGCCGCGGUAAUACGGAGGAUCCAAGCGUUAUCCGGAAUCAUUGGGUUUAAAGGGUCCGUAGGCGGGCCUGUAAGUCAGUGGUGAAAUCCGGCGGCUUAACCGUCGAACUGCCAUUGAUACUGCAGGCCUUGAAUUAUUGGGAAGUAACUAGAAUAUGUAGUGUAGCGGUGAAAUGCUUAGAUAUUACAUGGAAUACCGAUUGCGAAGGCAGGGUUACUACCAAUACAUUGACGCUGAUGGACGAAAGCGUGGGGAGCGAACAGGAUUAGAUACCCUGGUAGUCCACGCCGUAAACGAUGGAUACUAGCUGUCGGGACGCAAGUCUCGGU